UACGUAGGGGGCAAGCGUUGUCCGGAAUUAUUGGGCGUAAAGGGCUCGUAGGCGGUUCGUCGCGUCGUGCGUGAAAGACCCCGGCUCAACUGGGGAGGGUCGUGCGAUACGGGCGAACUGGAGGCCAGUAGGGGGAUGCGGAAUUCCGGGUGUAGUGGUGGAAUGCGUAGAGAUCCGGAGGAACACCAGCGGCGAAGGCGGCAUCCUGGACUGGUCCUGACACUCAGGAGCGAAAGCGUGGGGAGCGAUCCGG
rnacentral:rRNA from 1 species